rnacentral:rRNA from 1 species
ACGUACUGUGCGAACGUUAUUCGGAAUCACUGGGCUUAAAGGGUGCGUAGGCGGUUUAUCAAGUCAGAUGUGAAAUGCCUGAGCUCAACUGAGGCACUGCGUUUGAAACUGAUAGACUUGAGGGUUCCAGGGGUAUGCGGAACUGCCAGUGGAGCGGUGAAAUGCGUUGAUAUUGGCAGGAACACCAGUGGCGAAGGCGGCAUACUGGGGGACUUCUGACGCUGAGGCACGAAAGCCAGGGUAGCGAACGGG